rnacentral:rRNA from 1 species
GACGAACGCUGGCGGCGUGCUUAACACAUGCAAGUCGAACGGAAAGGCCCUGCUUUUGUGGGGUGCUCGAGUGGCGAACGGGUGAGUAACACGUGAGUAACCUGCCCUUGACUUUGGGAUAACUUCAGGAAACUGGGGCUAAUACCGGAUAGGAGCUCCUGCUGCAUGGUGGGGGUUGGAAAGUUUCGGCGGUUGGGGAUGGACUCGCGGCUUAUCAGCUUGUUGGUGGGGUAGUGGCUUACCAAGGCUUUGACGGGUAGCCGGCCUGAGAGGGUGACCGGCCACCUUGGGACUGAGAUACGGCACAGACUCCUACGGGAGGCAGCAGUGGGGAAUAUUGCACAAUGGGCGGAAGCCUGAUGCAGCAACGCCGCGUGCGGGAUGACGGCCUUCGGGUUGUAAACCGCUUUCGCCUGUGACGAAGCGUGAGUGACGGUAAUGGGUAAAGAAGCACCGGCUAACUACGUG